rnacentral:lncRNA from 1 species
CUAUCAUUUGAAGGAACUUCGCCAUCGCCUAUAGUUUCCAGAAAAUCUAUGUUGACAAUUGUAGGAGACCCUUAGAAUUUGUUGUUGGCGACCAGGUGUUCCUUAAGAUUUUCCUUACAAGGAAAAAAUGCAAUUUGGUAAGAAGGAAAAGUUGAGCCUCCGUUAUGUAGGAUCUUUUCAGAUCGUGGAACUUGUUGGAC